ensembl:lncRNA
GACUAAUCCCAACUAUCAGGGGAUGCUCUGUCAAAACGUGCUGCAGGGGCCCUAAGGCGAACAGAGCCGGUGAGCAGCGCGCGCGGCUCAACCAGCUCACCAGUGACAGAGCAGAGGGGCGAGAUUAGCAUAAUGCCUAUCGGAGUGUGUGUGUGUGAUGGAUAGAGAGAGGGAGAAUGUUUUGUGUGUGAGAGACAGAGCAAAAGCAUAUAUUUGAUAUAAAAAAGGAACCUGCAUGCAUAUAGUUGCAACAAUGCGUUCAUGCAUUGCACUGUGUGUUUGCAGUGACCUGACAGCGUAUCGCUGACCUCGUCUCAUGUUUAUCAUCUAACUUUUCACUCUACGAAGCGCCAUCCGGCCGUCUGUCUCCUCUGGGUCUGCUGGGCGGAGAAAAGCUCCGACCGCACCUAUGGAAGCAGAGAGAGAUGGAGCUCGUCUGAAUAUUCAUGCCCUGGGCCCUCAGCACCACCCGAACCCCCCUAAAAUCCUCGGCGCUCUACCCCAGCGACGUGCUCCAGGUUAAGGCCAACUCCAAAAGAGACACAGGCAGGAGAGAAGAACGAAUUAGUGAGAGGCUUAUUUGGAAGAAACGGUGGGCCCACGACCAGCCCGGCUGCUUUAGCCCGGACCCUGCCCUUUCAGCUCAAUCGACACUGACAGAUCCCUGGCCUGGGACUGCCAGCUGGCACACAGGAAGAGAAUGACAGAGUGAUGGAGAAAGAGCGAAACUCGGACCAGGUCAAAGUUUUCGUAAUCCAAGUGCCCAAAGUAUCUUGCUUUGAACU